AUGUCGGGAUUAUUAGUUUAUAAUUAUUUUGUGCAUCACAAUCUUCAAAUUCAAAAGGAGAAAUAUAGCACAUACACAUCACAACUCCUCUGUUUCUCCGCCUCAAAGCAGCAGCACAAAACAGGCUUCAUUAAUCUCAAUUUGCGAGUGAAAUUAGUUCAAGCAUAUAAACUCAACCUGAAUUAUCAAGGAUGCAAGCAAAUGGAUCAAACAACAACGAAAGGGAUAGAUCGUACCACAAAAGGGCUUGACUUCUUGCUACUGUUGGUGGUGGCCACGGCAGGAUCGGAGCGAGUGGAGUAA
rnacentral:rRNA from 1 species